rnacentral:lncRNA from 1 species
GAUUAAAUUGAGCCAACAAACUGGGGUUUUGCUGGAGGAUGAAGAGAUUGGGGUUUGGAAAGAAAUUAGGGUUCAGGUGAAGUUGCUGUUGCUGCUGCUGUUGCUGUUGCUGUUGCUGUUGCUGCGGCUGCGUAGGUUGUGAUGGCCGACGGCCGCUGCCGCCGCCAGGGCGGAAAGGCGGUCUUCGUCCGUGCAUUGGAGAUGGAAGAGAGACGCAGUAUCAGUUGCNCAAAAAAUGAAAAUAGAACAUAAAAGAAAUCUAAAUACCCCAAGCAUAAUUUAAAAAACUGAGAAGCUAAUCGCGCAAGAGAAAGAAGGUCAACUGGCUUCAUUUAAUAAACUAAGCACUUAGAUCCAUUAUCAUUUUCUGGUAUAAACUGAUCAUGCAAGAUGCCAAAAGUGACAUGCUUCAUCAACCCUUAAGUAGGAUAAAAGGUCUAAAGCUUACUUUACAAUUUAACAAUGAAGAUACUAUCCACACUUAUAUUUUACGCCAUUUUGAUUGAGUUUGGAAUAUUUGCCGAAAAGUAGAGCCUGAGAGCCAGUAGAGGCCAUCAUUAGUUUUAUGUGAGAUGGGAUAUGGACCAUCAUCUUAAAACAACCAAAGAAGGAUGACUCAACAAAUUCAGGAUAAAGGGAGUUUGUUUUACUGAGGAAACCUAGAUCUUGAUAUCAAUAUAUGACUAAGGAUAUAAUGAUUGGUAGCUGAACUUAUAUCCCAGGCCCUAACUGAUCAUCCAACAGCUCUCAAGUAAUUGAUGUGUUUUGUAAAUUUUAACAGGAAGAGCUGGUCGCUAAUGGCAAUGGUUCCAAGGAAAAGGAAAAGUUCAAUGAUCAAAAAAUUACAAAGAGGCUAAAUUAGAAGAGAAUGCAGCUCCACUAUACUGUGCAUCUCCAUCAAAGAUCAAGAUAUUACCUCAUCUGCAUCAUUAUCUCGGCAUGCCUCUUUCCAAGUGGUAAUAAAUGUCCUUAACGAUUCAAUGGAAGGUGAAUGACCACUUAUACUCUGAUAGUCAGAGCCCUUAACCUUGACAUCUGCAUCAAAUUUCUUCUUUCUAGCCAGCUGCGAGGUAAAGAAGUGCUUGAACUCAAAUUUUCAUAUCUUCUCUUCCCACGGGAGUGCUUAUUGUCCAUAUCACACCUUACACCACCGCUAGGUGUACAAGAGGUAGACUCUACUUCACCUUCAACCCAGCCUUCUCAUUUCUUCAGUUGCUGAUGGAUAAGGGCAACUACCGACACGUUCCGCUCUACCAUGUGACAGCAACUUAUUACAGCUGCUGUUUGGAUUAUUCUCAUUCUGAUUAUCUUCACAUCGAUUAGCUUCACUAUCAUCAUCCUCCGAACUUGAUGACAAAAAUCUUAUGUGUUUACCACAAAACUGGGCAUCUUCGGAUGAAAAAGACUUCAGACGCUGGGAGAUUGUGUUAAAAUGGUCAUCCAUUUCCUUUUUUUGUUCCGAAAAAAGCGGACGUUUCUUGCUGCGUUUCCCAUUAUCCAUUCUGAUUUUCUCAUAACAUUUUUCUAGUACAGUAUCUUCUGAUUCUUUUGCCUGCUUUAUAUGAUUAACAUAUAAUCUGAGACACAAGAAGUAUAAUUGAUUUAGAAAUUAACAAAAAAGUUGGUACUUGUUGCACCAACUGCAUUAUUUUCCAUAAAUACUAAAUGAGGGUUUGUAGAACAGUGUUUCAUAGAUACCAACUCAAGCACGGAAAAAGAAUAACUAUGUUGCCUCAUAGAAGCAGCACCAUACUUUUCAAGAAACUAGAUCAAUAGCAUGUGUGUCUUAUCAUUCAGGACAUGGUUCAUAACAACACUAACCAAUUUAUAGGACAGAAAUUUUAUUAAGAAAAUAACAAUUACAACAAGGAUGAGAAAUCUCAAAUCAGACUUAGAAAUUAACCAAAUCGCAUUGUUCACUGUUCCAAUGUAUAAUGUAUCAACUAUAAGGAAGGCUUUUAAAUCUUUGUAGUUUGGAACCCAUAAGGCAACCCUAAAUUUAACAUGUAUUAAGCUUUGUAUGGUACAAGAGGCGGUUACACAAGGAAAGACUGAGAGUACUAGUACUGAUAAUGAUUUGCUCAAAGUCAAUAACAAUACUAUUGAUUGAGCGCAAUAGUUAUACACACAAAAUGAGCUCAAUAUGAGGAGUUCAAUUGUGAAACUUAAUUUGUAUCAGGAUAGAUCUAGUGCCCCUUCCACCAAGCCUUACAUCCCUACUGAUAUUUGAAAACAAUAUUCUAUAAAAACCUACACUUCUUUUGCUGCCUCACAUCCCUAGUCCCCACCACUCCCACCACUACAUGAGUUACAGAGUUAGAACACGAUAUUAUCUAAUCAAAGCAUACUGAAUUACUGAUAGAAAGGAUCCUUACAUAAAUACACAUAUUAUGAAAAAUAACUUCCGAAUCCACCAUAAAAUAAUUGGGGUUACAUAAAAAUUUCCAGGACUAUAAAUGACAUAACAUUUAUAGAAACGUGUUCCUAAAUCAUACAAGUGCCAUUAUAAUCGCAUAUCAUGCUCCAAUCGGUAAACAUGCUCUAAAUAAGACAUUAAAAUUACAAACCAGGAAAAAAAAAAACCUCACCUGAAAUCCUGGACCCGCAGACAAAGAUGUUCCCAGCCACUGGCAGAUUGCUUCUUACAAAUAAAAUCCAAAAAAGUAUCAACUUUAAUGCUUUUCUUUUUGUGAGUAUCAAUAAACUCACAAAGGUAAGAUAUUAUUUCUUCAGUCCUUAUUCUAUAAACUUCAGUCACGUUUGAAGUCAGAGAAAAAUAAUGCACAGCAAGUGGGUGCUGCACCAAAGGACCCAAUUCCAGCUCUUCAAACUUUUUGACGCCUUCACUCUCACAGACUGCCAGUUCCAAAUCAUACAACGAAGUAAUUUUUCUAGCCGCAACAAAGCAGUGUAUGAAUGCAUUGAUCUAUAAAAAAUUACAAACAAACAUCAAAUUAUGAAUUUUAUACCUGCAAAAAACUGAACUAAAGUAACGGAUACUAGAAUGCGGUAUAAGAAAUUAAGAUGUUGCACCAGAGAAAACCAAAUAAUUUCGUGUAAUUCACAAUUAUAUUUCUCAUAAUUAACACAAAUUAGUAGCUCAAAUAUAGAAGUGUCGAGCAAGGAUGUUUAGAUCGCCAUGAAACGAUUGAUUCUUUCAAGGAUUACUCCAACCAUCCUGAAUUUUAGUUAUCAUACACAACCACACCCACACCCACACCAAAAAUUGAAAUAUAAAGGAUUGAAAGGUGAACGGUUUGUGAUGCCAAUAAAAGUUCAAUUUGCGCACCUUCCCUUCUGUAACAAGGAUGCUCUUGAGCGAAGGCACUUGCUGCAUUUGAAACCCCAAACUUUCCCAGGAGUCGACUUUCACAGCCAACAACGCUGCCUGCGAAACUUUCCACGCUGAAACAUUUUUUUUCGACUUCAAAAGGUCCUUCCAAGCGCUCCUCGCCGCCUUAUCAACUUUCUCAGCCAUCUCGUUUUGCACCUUAACGGGCUGUUGCGGGAAGUUAUUGUUAUUAUAUUCAUUCUGACGCGGUGCUUGAAAACUAUUAUGUUCGGGAUUCAGUUGGAUAUUCAUGUUCGGAAACUGUUGUUGGACCUCGGGGAAGCUGUUAGGGUUUUGGAGAAAGGGAUUAAAUUGAGCCAACAAACUGGGGUUUUGCUGGAGGAUGAAGAGAUUGGGGUUUGGAAAGAAAUUAGGGUUCAGGUGAAGUUGCUGUUGCUGCUGCUGUUGCUGUUGCUGUUGCUGUUGCUGCGGCUGCGUAGGUUGUGAUGGCCGACGGCCGCUGCCGCCGCCAGGGCGGAAAGGCGGUCUUCGUCCGUGCAUUGGAGAUGGAAGAGAGACGCAGUAUCAGUUGC